ACAGUAUGUGGGAAUUAUGGGAGCUAUAAUUCAAGAUGAGAUUUGGGUGGGACACAGCCAAACCAUAUCACUAGGUAAGAAGAGGGCUCCAUGCUAAGGAACAGGAUAUGCAAAGACCCUGUGGCAGGAGGAACUCUACCUGCUUUUUUGAAGAAUUCCAUAAGGUAGCCUUCAGUGGAGCUGAGUAGAGAGUGGGGGAGAGUGGGCUAAAACAUGAGGGGAGAAGUAGGCAAAAGCUAAAUCUCAUCAGGACCUUAUAGACAAUUGACAGAUGUUUGUCUUUAUCCAGUAAGGUGUUUGUAUGCUCCUUAAGUGGCAGCGGGGAGUGAGCAGAGCAGUGAAGAUAAACAUGAAAGCUGGUGGUAACAAAUUCUGAUACCUCCUCUAUUCCAAAAGGAAAGGCAGAACUCAGAGGCACCAUCCUCCUGUUGUGUUUGCAAGCUGUUGACACAACCUGGAAAGGUUAAAAGUUUUCAACAGACUUGUCAGAGUUUGUGUUCAAUGGAAACUGACAGAGCCUACCGGCUGAGGGGCUAAUUUUAAUAGAAAUAACCUAGGUGCGUUUGUUAAUUUUCUCCGUUCCCUCAAUGACCUGUCUGCAUAGCGUGAAGGUGCUUUGAUGUGACCAGGAGAACAGAAGGAUAUUUUGUGCAUAGCUGACCGUGAGAGGAAUGCUGGUUUUGCAAUGAGGAAGCACAGGAAGAUGACAGAACAAUGAGCAUAAGACAUGCUGGGUGCAUUUUUUGGACCUUACCACAUCUUGUUUGAGAGAAGUGGGACCAAUGCUGAUGAAACUCUUUCCCAUGGUGUGUUCUAUAUUCAUUGGAUGGGCAUCGCCUACGGCUGGAGCAGGGCUGAGCUCUGUACUGGUGUCUCUUAAAACACACCAGACAGCAACAGCUGAGAUACCUACUACCUGGAUCUGCUUGAUUAGAUCAUACGGUCAUAUUUGAUUACUUAGAAUGGGCUUCUGGAGGAUCUGUUGCUGAUUGCACUGAAACCAGAAGUUGUACUUGGCCAAGGACGAGCUAACCCCAAACAGCAAGAGGUUUGAGUUGGCUCCAAAGCACAAGCCUCACAAAUAUCCCGUGAGUCUCCCACAGGCUUGGGGCUCUCUGUUUAGAAUUAGAACCUAAUCUUCAAAUAUCCCUUUACCCUCUUGCCUCAAAAAGGAAGGCAGUGAAGAGCAGCAGCAAGGCAUCCUGGAUGAGCACUGGAAGGGGAGAAUGCUCAUGUUUUAGUCGUGGGCUUUCCACCAGUUAGCUGUGCAGCUUUGGGCAGAUACUUGAACUUCUCUGGUGCUCUGUUUCUUCAUGUUUAAAUGAGAGGAUUAAACUGUAUGACUUUUGGGUCGAAAGUACGUCUCUGCCAUCAGUAUCAUAACAAUUAUUGAAAUUGCUGCCUAGAAUCUUCCGCUACCACAGUGUAUUUUGAUUGGACUGUUUAUUGCCUUAGCAAACACAAUGCAGUGCUGUGUCUUUGGCAUCUUGCCAGGAAAGAUGAGCCAAUUUUCUCGUGUUGCUUCUGGAUGUCAAAACAUUCUCAUCUGACCAUGCCACAGAAGAAGUUUGUUGAGAGUGUGACUGACUGACAUAAUGACUGAUUGGCUGAUAACGGCAGCUGACAGUGAUUGAUUGAGUGUAAAAUUAUCUGUUCUCAUUACUUCUGAAAUUGAAUUCAGAUUGGUUCUAUUGGAGGGUUUCCAUGGAGACCAUAACCUGCUAUAGCAAGUGUUUGUGGAUGCAAUGUUUUAUUGUGAUCAAUACCUGUUUCCUCUGCUGGUCCAAAGAAAUUAUUAAUGAUUAUAGUCAAGUAGAAAGAGGCAACCAUAUAUAAGAAGAAAAAAACUCUCAUAUUUUGUCUCAUUGCUACAUAAAACAAAUGUGGGCCUUCCCAGACUUGCGCUUUGGCUAACUAGUUCAUAAUACGUUCGAUAACUUGCCAUUCUUCUUUUGCUAUUAAUGCAGAGGGUUUGCUUUGGAAAAAAGAAAAGUAUUUCUAGGACUCUUUCUCUCUUUGAAGAAGAUCAGAAUAAUAGACGAAUGUUCAUACUUGGUUUUUUUUUAAAUGCGAUGUUACAGAAACAACAAACAUUUAAUCAAAUCUUAAACACACCCAUGUUAAUGCAGAGACAGAGAUGGUCCCUCAGGCUUUUUCUGGGUUGUUUCCAUGAAUGAUAAAGUCAUUAAACAAUUUCAUAGGCUUGCCUUAUUGAUCUCUCACAAUGGCAUGCUAUGUCUGCUCUUCAGGAAAGCCUUUCCUGACUGCCCCCAUCAGAGUUAAUUACUACUUACUCUGUGUUCGCAUGGCCUUCUUCCAUCUUCUAUUAUAGCAUUCAUCUCAGGCCACCUUGCCUUACAAUUACUUGUAUCUCUUUUUCCCACUAGAUUAUGACCUCCUUGAGGACAGGGUGAUUUUCUUGUUGCUCUUUGUAUUAUCCUCAGCAUCUAGGUGAAUCUCUGAUACAUCACAAGGGUUCAAUAAAUGCUCAUUGAAUUGAAUUAACUGGAUCUGCAUUCCAAGGUCAUCUCUUCCUAGACUGGUGUUGAAUGGGAUUCCCAUGAAGUGAGGCAGCAGAGUGCGUGCUUGCUGGUUCUGUUGCUUUGUCUCCUGCCCUGUGGCUGCGUCUGUGCCCAAGAGGAUUGUUAGGAUAUAUUGUGCUACAGGAGAUUGAUAUUGUAUAGGAUGUCUGUACAGCUUAUAGACUGGUGCUGACCGUACUGAAAUGAUGGUGGGAGGAUACCUAAUAAGGAUUCUAUUUUAUGCUUAGCUGUAUUCAUUCAUUGGUUUGGUUGGAAUCUGCUUCAGCGUACUUCCUCUACCCAAAUUUGGCUCAUUAGCUGAAAUCACUUUGGGAUGAAUCCACUGUUAAUAGUGGCUAACAUUUUUCAUGCACUUACGACAUGUCUGGCACAGUACUAAGUACUUUACAUAUUUUUCAAUUCUUACACAUUGCUCCCAUUAUCCCAUUUUGAAGAUAAGGAGACUGAAGCACAGAGUGUUUAUUUCCUAAGGUCACACAGCUAGGAAGUAGAGGAGCUAGGAUUUGAAUUCCUAUAGUCUAGCUUCCUACCCCAUUCUUAAGCUAUCUACCCUGUUGCCGCCUGACAAAAGUGUGUUUCAAAAUUUAAUUCCUGAACUGACUGCAUCAAAAUCCCCUGUAGUGUUUGUUAAAAGUGAAGAUACCCCAAGACCUACUGAUUCAGGUUGUUUUCACCGAGGCCAGCAAAUCUGCACCAACAUGUUUUAUUCUGUUCUGUACCUCAAGCUUUGAUGCUGCUUUGUUUUCUUGUUUUGGGAGAAGGGCAGGGGUGGGGGUGGAGGCAAGCGAGUCCAAUACUACAACUUUAGAAAUCUCUGCUCUAGGGUGAACACUCUCUUUGAGACUUCUAAAUUAAAGUCAAGUCUUUUGGAUUUUUGUUUCUUUGUACUGCCUAACUUUAGAAAGACCUGGAAGCGGUAACAUGAAAACAUUUUUAGAGAGAAUUACCAGGCAUUUUUGGUAGAAUGAGUGUUUAAUGGAACAGUCCAGAGAACUCAUCAAAGAUGUUUAUUAAAACGCGCAGACCUGCUCCAAUUAAGGGCCCAGUCAGUGGUGUUAACAGUGAAGGGACUGUUCCAGAGGCGUGCUGCACGGGACGCCCACCCCAAAUACAAAUGGUUUGCCAGUAGCUCACAAAUGAACCCCAUUGCCUUGCACUUAAGCUUCCUGAAGCACAUACAUAUCCUGCUUUGUGCUUUCCGCCCUAUAGUAAACGCAAACCAAUGGAGAUGUGAAGCAAUCUAAUAGCAACAAGGCAAACCUCUACUUCCUCUAAAGAGGAUUGCAUCCUCUUGCUAUCUUUGCCGAUGCUCUCCUACAGACCCAUCCCUGUCAUGUCUUUCCUGUCUUUCUAGUAGAAUUCUGGCUGCUCCCGUAGGACCUCCUUGCGGGAAUUUUCCCUGGUUGCUGCCUCCAAGGAGAGGCUCCCCACCAGAAAGUUUUAAGAGGCUUAUGCUUCUGGGGUUAAUGCGGUCCUUUCUGUCACCUUGUUUUCUGUUCCUAGUUAUCUUUCGGUAACUUUUUUCCUAAACUACUCUGAAAGGCAUAGACUGUCUCUUGAAAGCUCAUCUGUUCUUAACCCCUUUCCCUCAUUCCACUGACUGCAGCAUCUUCCACAUACCAUUCCCUCUUAGCAUUUAUGUCCAUGUCAUGCUUUUGUUGGUUUAUUUGUGUAUUUUCUGCUUCCCACCAUUAGAUCAUUUGUAGAAUUAAUGAAUGCCUAUGGGUUAAUAGAUUUUUCGCUGUAUCCUCUUUUCUCUGUAUCUCUCUGCCCAGUUGCUUAGAAAUGCUUCUGUUUGUGUAUUUGUAUCCACCUUCUUUGGGGAGAGUUAUGACCCUGGUCCUUAUGCCAUCAGUGGUAUUGCAAUUUUGUAUGUAGCAUGACCAUUUUUAAAAAUGACAUUUCAUAGUGAGUGAUUCAGACACCUAUCAUUCAGCUUACCUGCCGGGGCCCUCCAAAAUGAGCAGAAGGCCUCUGUCUCAUUCUAGAAGCUUGAAGGUCUCCACGUGGUUUGCCCAGGGGCCCACAACCUCCCUGCAGUCCAGGAGUGCUCCCAUUAACCCCAGCUGUGUGAUUCAGACCAGAUUCUUAGGACUUUUUAAGUGAAAUGGGACAGAAAAUUGCUUGAUGUAUUUUGCCACAUGAAGUACAUUUUGCUGCCGCUUAGUUCUUUAUUGUCGUUAGAUUAAAAACUCUCCUAACGUUGUGUGGGUAAGUAAAAAUCUUUUUAUUUUUAUCUGGUAUGUUUUGAAAAAAAGGAAAAAAGAAACUAGACAUUGUCAAAAUAUUUGCUUAAUCUUGCAGAUUUGGGAAGUUGUAUAGCCACUCGCUCUGACAGACCAGAACAAUGGUCAUUAAAUGAGAAGCAGAUGUAAUAAAGUAUGCAGUAAAAGCCUUCUAUUAUGGGCUGGAAGGGGAAAAAAAUGAGUUGUUAACAGAACACAGUAAGCAUUAUGGAAUAAAUCAGAACAAAACCAUUCCCAAUUACUGUACAAAGAUAAUUAAAGUCUACAAUGCUAAUUAAGGUCUGUUUAUAUCUAUUUCUGUUUGUGUACAAACAUAUGCGCAUAGUUAAAUAUUUUCCAUUGUUUUUUAUGUGAUGCUAACUUCAUAGUUGAAUUUUUCUGAAUUUAACUUUUGUUUUUAUGUUACCAGGAAGUACAAUCUCCAGAAAACUGAAACUCCAGCUUUUCCUCCUUGAUCGUAGCUUAUUUUUCUUGGCUAACUUCAGAAAAUUCUUCAAGCCAGGAGGCUUUCUAAGCUUACUCCUGAUGCAGUUAAAACUCAAAGGUUUCUGGAAGCCAAUGAAAAUCCUCACCUCUGACUGAAAUGGAAUUUCAAGGGAAAGAAAAUACAACGUAUUUUAUGAGGUCAGGUCUCCCAUAAGGUGUUAAAGGCAUUGUUCAGAGGUGCCACCUAGCAACUUCUCCCAGAACAAAAGAUUAGCCAUAGGUACUUCUUGUGUCUGGUUUUUGAGUUUAAAAUAGGAACAGGCAAAGGAUGCAUUUGGCAGCAUCCUUCAUCUAUUCCUGUUUAAACUUCUAUCAAUAAAAGUUUAGUUCUAUUAAUAAACAUGUCUCUUGACUUUGUUGUGAAAUAGAAUUGGUGAAGGCACAAAGUGGCUUAUUUUACUACUUAUGAGGCAGGCGUAUUAUAUAUGACAUAGACCAACUGGAAUUAUGGAUGGUAUUUCAUAAAAUAGUGUCAAAGAUUGCAGGCCAGGGAGACAGAAAGAAGUAUACUUGAUUUUCUUGAGAGUCACUUUGCACUUAAAUACCCAAAUACCGAAAGUUUAAACACAUUUUCAUGAUUCCUUUGUAUAAAAAGUGAACAGAAUGGCUACCGUUGUAAUUUUGCUGCUUCUAGCAAUUCACCAGCAAAAUACAUCCCAAAAUAGCAGAUAUACAAUGCAGCAUAUGCUUUGGUGAAUCUAAUAAUUUCGUGAACUCGUUCGCUGUUGGGCUGGUAAUCUACAUAGCUUUAACGGUGAACUUUAUAAAAUUCGGAGCCUCAUGCAUCAGAAGGUAAAAAACAAAAGUGGACAGUUUUAACAACGAUGGAUGAGUUGCUAGGGAAUAAAAUUAAAUGGUUGAUAAUAAUUGUGGUAGCUCACGAAGACUGAUGUUAUUUACAAAAGCUCCAUUUUGCAUGUAAUCAGAUGUCUAUUCCCAUGAGCUGGGUCAUAAUUCAUAUUCCACUUUAAUGUUCAUGGAAAAUGUGCUUCUCUCUGUGUACGUAUUAUUUUUAGGAUGUUAUGUUUCCUUGGUGCAUACACAAUGAGCCUGAAAUCCUUUAGGAAUGUGUUUAAUUUGAAAGUUUUAUCCUCUGGGCCUGGUUAAUUCAAAUACAUGGCUAGGAACAUUAUUGUAGGCCCUGAAAGAAUGUAGGCAUGGCAAAUUAUGUGCAUAAAGGCAACUCCAACCCAUGUUGCCAACGCUCAUUUGGUAAAAGGUAGUGAGGAGGAUUAUUUUUUCCUUCCAAACUUUUUUCUUCAUCCACUCAUUUAAUUUUUCUGCACUAAUUCUUUACGUUAAUAAGCUUGAUUUACACUGGACCAGAUUUCUUCUACUUUUAAACUCAGAACCGUGUCUGGUGGCUCUUUUGUAUUAAAAUCAUCAGCCCAGGGAGCUUUUACGAACUUAUGUCCUCAGUCCACAAGGUGUCCUGUGUUCACCCUUAUAUUCUCUUCUAUCCUUAGUCACAAAGACUGUCUGAGUCGCAUUUUCAUCUCUAGAAACUGGAAGAAGUUCUAAGAGUGUGAGGCUGCCACUGCUAGUUCCUGCAGUCAUCUCUCCGAUAUCAUGACUCAAGCCCUCCGGUCGUCUUGGCCACGUUCCCCCUGGUUUAUCCAUAUUCCACGUAAACUGUGUUCAUCAUACUGAAAACAGACCCCUGGAGGAAUUCUGAGGUCCAAGGAUUUGGGCAAGGUCAUUACCUCCUUUUUCCUGGACCAUCUUCUUCAAUUAAUGCAACCUAAGACUGCAAUAAGCUCUUUUACAGGUAUAUAAUUUUGUAUCAUUUGGAGCAUAUUCUUAGAAUUGUUUGGUGUUCUUUCCCCCAUGUAUGCAGCUGAUUUUUAAAAACAGAUCUGUGAUCUAUAGCAAGUUGCUCAAUCUCUUUAAGCCCCACAUUUUUGGUGAGUAAAAUAAUAAUAGCACAGACUUCAUGGCAUUGUGGUGGUGAACAGAUGAGCACCUACGCUUCUCAAUACAGCGUCUUCUACAUAAUAACUUCAAUAAAUAUGAACUAGUAUAAUUAUUGUGUUAUUGGAAAAUUAGAAAUUGCAGGUGAGCAAAAGGCCUUUCUUCCAAACAUUUUUUUUUGUGUAUUUCAAUGUAAUUAAUUUUUUUUACUUAAAAAUUUUGAAUUAAUAUCUCAACUUAUAAGAGCAGCUUUGUCAGUAUAUUUUAAAUGAUUCCCACAAUGCUGAUUUAGGCAUUUUACAUUUUGAUAUGCAUUUUUAGCUGGUUUUCAAAGUCACAAGGCUCUAAGGAAAAGAACUAAUCCUUAGUUGGCAGGAAAGUCCCUCCCCAAAUCCUUGGAUUAAAAUAGAAUCUGCCGCCAGGGCUUUCCUUGUCUUCUGUGAUUGAGAUCUGUCUCAGGUGGGAAGGCAUCCGGUACCUGUGCAUGGCAAGUUCAUUCUUUAGAGAUAGAAUGUGCAACUUUAAUAUUUAUUGAUAGGCACACUAAUUCUCUUGCUGAUGGUAAUUAAUGAGGUGCUUAUAUCUUAUUUUGCGGUAGUUUAACGAGCUUCGGGCUAUAGGAGAGAUCCGGUGCUUGCUGUAAAUGCUGAGAAUCAAAGAUGCUGGAGGAAAAUGCAGAAAAUGGAGCAGAAAAAAUAAGGUUUUAGCAGAUAAAAUAUCUCAGAUUAAAAACACUCUCAAAACAAACCUUGGUAAGGCAGAAGCAUUUAAAAAUCAGGGAGAGCUUGCCAGGGAGGAAAGUCGCAGGUUCCCUAUUCCUUGUUCCCUAAGCAUGCUGUUAAUUUUGACCACCCAUUUGUCUUUCUACCCCUUUGGCUUCGUCUGUGUUAGCAGUGUGAAGUGAAAAAUUGAUAGGAAAAUGUAUUUUUUUUCUUAAGGCUUAGAUAGUUACAGCCAAAACAUUUUGUCAUAUUGGGUUUUGAAUAAUUGUGUCAAAUCUACACUUAAUUUUGCCUUAGACAGCUAGCCUUAUGACCCUAGUUAACCUGUAUUUUCUCUUAUUCUUUCAUCCUUUGGAAAUGAGGUUCACAGAAUACAAAUUCAGAAGAGCAUAAAUUCUAACUCCUUAGAAGACAGGAAUAGAAGUCAAAGUGACCUCAAUAAAUCAAAAGCAAGUUGAAGUUCAAUAGGGACAAAUGUAAGGUAGGAUACUUAUGCCUAAUAGACGGACUCACAAUUUUAAAAUCAUCUGGGCAUGAUUGUGAUGGAAAAGUGUCUCUCUGUCAAGGACAUGAGGAAGCCACAUCCGCAGCCUUGUCUAAGGACCUACUAUGUGCCAGGCAUUUUGCAUAAGUCAGCUUGCUUACAAAUACACUGUAAUAAUCUCAACAGUAACUCUCAAAGCUGUGUAUAAUUUGUGCUCUCAUUUUAUAGAUGUGGAAGCUGAGGCCGAGAGAGGGUAAAUAAUUUGCUCAAAUGUUCACAGUUAGUGAUUUAACUGGUUUUGGAUCCUGCUGUAUCUACUUGACCAAGAGUACUUCAUUACAGAGCUGUUAUUUAAAAAGCCAACCCGGCCGGGUGCGGUGGCUCACGCCUGUGAUCCCAGCACUUUGGGAGGCCGAGGCGGGCAGAUCACAAUGUCAGGAGAUCGAGACCAUCCUGGCUAAUAUGAUGAAGCCCUGUCUCUACUAAAAAUACAAAAAAUUAGCCUGGCGUGGUGGCGGGCGCCUGUAGACGCAGCUACUCGGGAGGCUGAGGCAGGAUAAUGGCGUGAACCCGGGAGGCAGAGCUUGCAGUGAGCCGAAAUUGCGCCACUGCACUCCAGCCUGGGCAACCGAGCGAGACACCCUCCAAAAAAAAAAAAAAAAAAAAAAAGCCAACCCAGUUCUUGGCUAUAGUAACUGAGACUUUACUUGAGAACCAGAUAAUAACCUUUCCAGUAUACUAUACAUUAAUUAAAAUUUAAAAGAAAAAUGAAUAGGAGAAACUGGAGCAAGUCCAAAAAUACCCCACCCAACAACAAAGGCAACAAGAGAAAUUUUUUAAAUUGGCCUAAUAGGUAACAGGCUCAAGGUGUUUGGGAUUGCUUAGCUAGGAAGAAUGCAGCUACAGGGUGAGCGACACACUAAUCCUGUAGACAUCUAAAAGGCAAUAAUAAAGAUUCACAUUUUACAUCAGUAUUUGCAGGUAACAAAGCACUUCCCUGUCAGUUGUCUUACUGGUUUCUCACAGCAGUCAUCCGGAGCAGAAGUCAGCAAACUUUUCUGUAAAGGGCUAGAUAGUUAAAUAUGUUUGGCUUUAUGGGCCAUGCGGUCUCUGUCACAACUCCGCAACAAAAGCAGCCAGAGGCAGUUCAUAAACAAAUGGGCAUGACUGUGAUCCAAUAAAACUCUAUUUACAAGAAGAUGUGACGAGCUGGAUUUGGUUCUCAAGCUGUGGUUAUGUGAAUACAUAUUAUCGUUUCCAUUAUUCAGAUGAGAAAAUUGAGGCUCAGAAAAGUAAAGUGACUUAUCCUAUGCAACUGAAUGAAUAAACAAUGUGUCUGGAACGAGAAUUCACUUUCUGUGGUUAUAGUUUGGUGCUCCAUGAAGUAAAUUGAAGACAUGUACCCAGAAAGAUUUCAGGGAAGUUUGUCAUCCCAAGAUACCAUUUGCCUGUGAUUGUAAUUAAAAUUGGGAGCAGAUGAAUCAAGAAGUUAGAUGAGGCUGGGAGCGCGGUGGCUCACACCUAUAAUCCCAGCAUUUUGGGAGGCCAAGGCAGGCGGAUCACUUGAGCUGAGGAGUUCA
rnacentral:lncRNA from 1 species